rnacentral:rRNA from 1 species
ACAAGCAGUGGGAGCACCCUUCGGGGUGUGACUGCGUACCUUUUGUAUAAUGGGUCAGCGACUUAUAUUCUGUAGCAAGGUUAACCGUAUAGGGGAGCCGGAGGGAAACCGAGUCUUAAUUGGGCGUUAAGUUGCAGGGUAUAGACCCGAAACCCGGUGAUCUAGCCAUGGGCAGGUUGAAGGUUGGGUAACACUAACUGGAGGACCGAACCGACUAAUGUUGAAAAAUUAGCGGAUGACCUGUGGCUGGGGGUGAAAGGCCAAUCAAACCGGGAGAUAGCUGGUUCUCCCCGAAAGCUAUUUAGGUAGCGCCUCGUGAAUUCAUCUCCGGGGGUAGAGCACUGUUUCGGCUAGGGGGCCAUCCCGGCUUACCAACCCGAUGCAAACUGCGAAUACCGGAGAAUGUUAUCACGGGAGACACACGGCGGGUGCUAACGUCCGUCGUGAAGAGGGAAACAACCCAGACCGCCAGCUAAGGUCCCAAAGUCAUGGUUAAGUGGGAAACGAUGUGGGAAGGCCCAGACAGCCAGGAUGUUGGCUUAGAAGCAGCCAUCAUUUAAAGAAAGCGUAAUAGCUCACUGGUCGAGUCGGCCUGCGCGGAAGAUGUAACGGGGCUAAACCAUGCACCGAAGCUGCGGCAGCGAACGUAUCACC